rnacentral:rRNA from 1 species
CAAUAGCGUAUAUUUAAGUUGUUGCAGUUAAAAAGCUCGUAGUUGGAUUUCGGAUGGGACUUGCCGGUCCGUCGUUUCGAUGUGCACUGGCCAGUCCUAUCUUGUUGUCGGGGACUAGCUCCUGGGCUUCACUGUCCGGGACUAGGAGCUGACGAGGUUACUUUGAGUAAAUUAGAGUGUUCAAAGCAAGCCUACGCUCUGAAUACAUUAGCAUGGAAUAACACGAUAGGACUCUGGCUUAUCUUGUUGGUCUGUGAGACCAGAGUAAUGAUUAAGAGGGACAGUCGGGGGCAUUCGUAUUCCGUUGUCAGAGGUGAAAUUCUUGGAUUUACGGAAGACGAACAUCUGCGAAAGCAUUUGCCAAGGAUGUUUNCAUUG